UACGUAGGGUGCAAGCGUUGUCCGGAAUUAUUGGGCGUAAAGAGCUCGUAGGCGGUCUGUCACGUCGGCUGUGAAAACCUGGGGCUCAACUCCGGGCCUGCAGCCGAUACGGGCAGACUAGAGUUCGGCAGGGGAGACUGGAAUUCCUGGUGUAGCGGUGAAAUGCGCAGAUAUCAGGAGGAACACCAAUGGCGAAGGCAGCUCGCUGGGACGGUACUGACGCUGAGACGCGAAAGCGUGGGGAGCAAACAGG
rnacentral:rRNA from 1 species